CACGUAGGGUGCGAGCGUUGUCCGGAAUUAUUGGGCGUAAAGAGCUCGUAGGCGGUGUGUCGCGUCGGCCGUGAAAACCUGCAGCUUAACUGUGGGCGUGCGGUCGAUACGGGCAUCACUGGAGUUCGGCAGGGGAGACUGGAAUUCCUGGUGUAGCGGUGAAAUGCGCAGAUAUCAGGAGGAACACCGGUGGCGAAGGCGGGUCUCUGGGCCGAUACUGACGCUGAGGAGCGAAAGUGUGGGGAGCGAACAGG
rnacentral:rRNA from 1 species